CUCAUCUCUCUCUCUCCACCACCAACUAUACUCAUUCUAGCUUUUUCCUUGCUUUGCUCUUCUCUAAACCUUCCCUGAGCCCUAUGGUAUGCAUCUUGUUCUUAAUCACUCUGUUUGUUGUUUCCUUGGCACUUGAUCUUUAAUUUUACCCUUUAUUUAUUUGCUAGAUUGUAAGUAUGUUACUGUUGUUCUCAACAUAAACUAGUACUCUGAAUGAGAAAAAUUGUAUCUAAACAUUUGAACAAGGAAAGUUCCUUUAAAUUUUUAUGUAGGAUGGCAAGGAGCGUGCAAGUGGGAAGAAGAAGAAGACCAUUGAAGUAGGACCAUGGGGAGGAAAUGGUGGAGCUGAUUGGGACGAUGGGAUCUACAAUGGGGUGAGAGAGAUCACGCUUGCUUACGGUCUUUGCAUCGACUCCAUUACUGUGGUGUAUGAUAGAAACGGUAAGCCUGUCAAGGCAGAAACGCAUGGUGGUCGCGGAGGCGAUCAAACUGCUGAGGUACGUUUCGAUCCUUGUACUCUUUCUUUUAAUCGACAACUUUCGUCCAUGAGAUUUAAACUCCAGACAUCCUCUAACAAAGUGGAGACUGAUGCCAAUAGAGCAAAUGGUCAUAGGCUUCAAAGCUCGUACUUCAAAAUUAGAUUAAGAUUGACAGAAAGUGUAUCAAAUUUGAUGAUAAUUUAUUUCAUAGAGGCGAGAUAUCGAGACAAAAAUAUUUUGAUUUCGGCCUGACUUUUUUCGUGCAGAUAAAGCUUCAGUACCCAGAUGAGUUCCUAGUCAGUGUAAGUGGACACUAUUGUCCUAUGGUGUAUGGUGGCGGCCCGAUAAUCCGGUCACUCAAAUUUCAGAGCAAUAGAAGAACAUUUGGACCAUAUGGAAUUGAAGAAGGCACACCUUUUACUUUCACAGUGGAUGGAGGCAAAAUUGUUGGAUUAAAGGGAAGAAAUGGAUGGUACCUAGAUGCCAUUGGGUUUCAUGUAUCCCCUCCCCAAACCAAAAAACUCUUUCAGAGUAUUCAGAAGAGUUUUAGAAGGCUUGGGAGCUCGGUUUCAAAACCUUAGACUGCUCAAAGUUGAAAGCAUAUUGACUUAGAGCUCAUGCCUGCCGCCAUACGAGUUCUUAAAAUCACCAAAAGCUCAAAAAUAUUGCACAUAUAUAAGCUACUCUUUCUGCUUGGGAUUAUGUCUUUCCUUUUAAGUACACUAAAGCCAUCCAAAUAAUGUUUAGUGUUUUCUGUACCAUCAAUGGAAUAUUAUGUUUCAAUAGCGGGUAGCGAAACAUGCGUCGAUUGUUCUUAUUAAUAGCGUUGGGUCGAUAAUCAGAUUAAAAUAAUUGAACAGCAAUCUAAAAGGAUUAAAGGAAAGGAG
rnacentral:lncRNA from 1 species